rnacentral:rRNA from 1 species
GUGGGGAAUAUUGCACAAUGGGGGAAACCCUGAUGCAGCGACGCCGCGUGAGCGAAGAAGUAUUUCGGUAUGUAAAGCUCUAUCAGCAGGGAAGAAGAAUGACGGUACCUGACUAAGAAGCACCGGCUAAAUACGUGCCAGCAGCCGCGGUAAUACGUAUGGUGCAAGCGUUAUCCGGAUUUACUGGGUGUAAAGGGAGCGCAGGCGGUGCGGCAAGUCUGAUGUGAAAGCCCGGGGCUCAACCCCGGUACUGCAUUGGAAACUGUCGUACUAGAGUGUCGGAGGGGUAAGUGGAAUUCCUAGUGUAGCGGUGAAAUGCGUAGAUAUUAGGAGGAACACCAGUGGCGAAGGCGGCUUACUGGACGAUAACUGACGCUGAGGCUCGAAAGCGUGGGGAGCAAACAGGAUUAGAAACCCUCGUAGUCC